rnacentral:rRNA from 1 species
GCGGUAGAGCACUGAUCAGGAGAGGGACCUACCCGGUUACCAAACCCAGUCAAACUCCGAAUGGCUGCAAUCAUACCUGGGAGUCAGACUGCGACUAAUAAGGGCCGUAGUCAAAAGGGAAACAGCCCAGACCAUCAGCUAAGGUCCCCAAUGCCGUGCUAAGUGGCGAAGGAUGUGGCAUUUCAUAAACAACCAGGAUGUUGGCUCAGAAGCAGCCACCAUUUAAAGAGUGCGUAAUAGCUCACUGGUCGAGAGACGCUGCGCCGAAAAUGUCCGGGGCUCAAGCACGGAACCGAAGCUAUGGCAUGAUAGCAAUAUCAUGGGUAGGGGAGCGUUCUUAUAAGGAAGAAGCAUGACCGGAAGGACAUGUGGACAAAUAAGAAGUGAGAAUGCCGGUAUGAGUAUCGAAAAGAAAGGUGAGAAUCCUUUCCACCGAAAGCCCGAGGGUUCCUGAGCAACGAUCGUCGACUCAGGGUAAGUCGGGACCUAAGCCGAGGCGAGAAGCGUAGGCGAUGGACAACAGGUUGAAAUUCCUGUACCGGAUCAAGUCGAUUGAGCGAAGGAGCGACGCAGGAGGGCACAUGAUCGCGCGGCUGGAAGAGCGCGUCCAAGUGCGUAUGUUGCAGCAGAGGAAAACCCCUGCAGCUAAAAGCAGAGACAUGAUGGGGAGUUAAAGGAAACUUUGACGAACUCAUGAAUCCCACACUGCCAAGAAAAACUUCUAGCGAGACAAGAUCCGCCCGUACCGUAAACCGACACAGGUAGGCGGGGAGAGAAUCCUAAGGUGCGCGGGAAAACCCUCGUUAAGGAACUCGGCAAAUUGCAUCCGUAACCUAGGGAGAAGGAUGGCCCCCGGUCAGUGAAGAGCAGAAACGCUCAGAGCUAAAAGGGGCGGCAGAAAAGAGGCCCAAGCAACUGUUUACCAAAAACACAGGUGCCUGCGAAAGCGAAAGCUGAAGUAUAGGUGCUGACGCCUGCCCGGUGCCGGAAGGUUAAGGAGAGAAGUUAGCGAAAGCGAAGCAUCGAACUGAAGCCCCGGUGAACGGCGGCCGUAACUAUAACGGUCCUAAGGUAGCGAAAUUCCUUGUCGGGUAAGUUCCGACCCGCAUGAAAGGCGUAAUGAUUUGGGCACUGUCUCAACGAGGGGCCCGGUGAAAUUGAAAUACCUGUGAAGAUGCAGGUUACCCGCGACUGGACAGAAAGACCCCAUGGAGCUUCACUGCAGCUUGAGAUUGAAUCCCGGUGACAGAUGCACAGGAUAGGUGGGAGGCGCCGAAGCAUUGCCCUAGGGCGGUGCGGAGCCGAUGUUGGGAUACCACCCUUCUGUUGCUGAGAUUCUAACGCGAGGAGUAACGACCCUGCGGACCCUCUCAGGCAGGCGGUUUGACUGGGGCGGUCGCCUCCGAAAGAGUAACGGAGGCGCCCAAAGGUUCCCUCAGGCCGGACAGAAACCGGCCGAAGAGUGCAAAGGCAGAAGGGAGCUUGACUGCGAGACCAACAAGUCGAGCAGAGACGAAAGUCGGGCUUAGUGAUCCGGUGG